UCCCUGGAAGUCCAAUGGUUAGAACUCUGCACUUCCACUGCAGAGGACCAGGGUUCAGUUCCUGGUCUGGGAA
rnacentral:tRNA from 1 species